GGAAAUUGCAAAGUUAACAUUGAUCCGUGUACAUCGUACUGACAACACUAAUUAACCUAAGAUAAAGUGAUCAACAGAUUAAGGACCAUCAAAGGUGUUAAUUAGGCCAUCAACAUGUCACCUAAAGAAAUCAGUAUCAUAAACAAAUGCUAUAAACGUAUCUUGAAUUGUCAAAUAAUUCUUAUCAAAAUCAAGCCCAGCAUGAAAUUAUUAUUUCCUAUAUGUAAGAGAACUUUGAGGAUAUAAAAUGAACAUUUUAUCAUACUAGCAUAU
rnacentral:lncRNA from 1 species